rnacentral:piRNA from 1 species
UGACAAGACUUCCACAGGUAGCUGUUGGG